CCUACGGGGGGCAGCAGUGGGGAAUAUUGGACAAUGGGGGGAACCCUGAUCCAGCCAUGCCGCGUGUGUGAAGAAGGCCCUCGGGUUGUAAAGCACUUUCAGUGAGGAAGAACGCCUGGUGGUUAAUACCCAUCAGGAAAGACAUCACUCACAGAAGAAGCACCGGCUAACUCCGUGCCAGCAGCCGCGGUAAUACGGAGGGUGCGAGCGUUAAUCGGAAUUACUGGGCGUAAAGCGCGCGUAGGUGGCUUGAUAAGCCGGUUGUGAAAGCCCCGGGCUCAACCUGGGAACGGCAUCCGGAACUGUCAAGCUAGAGUGCAGGAGAGGAAGGUAGAAUUCCCGGUGUAGCGGUGAAAUGCGUAGAGAUCGGGAGGAAUACCAGUGGCGAAGGCGGCCUUCUGGGCUGACACUGACACUGAGGUGCGAAAGCGUGGGUAGCAAACAGGAUUAGAUACCCCGGUAGUC
rnacentral:rRNA from 1 species